UCUCUAUAAACGAUGGUGUCUGUACUGCCUUACCACUUCAAACUCGAUCCAGAGAGUUCAGACGGCCGUUACGAUAUAAACGAUCUCCGUCAAUGAACGCGAUUGGAUUUACCUUUUUUAGGUGUCCUUAGCUCUGCCAGAAUGCUAAACGAAGACGAAAAUGUGUUGCAAAGACAUCCAAAAGGUUUUAAGGAGAAUGCAACAGGUUCCAGGGCCUCUUACCUGCGUGAUUCAUCAUCCAGGUUUUGCACAAAUUGUCUAAAUCCCUACACACAGAACAUUUAUUGUACCGACUAUAAGCCUUUGAGGUGCAGGACUAGAAUAUGCUUGGAGCUUCCUGAUCAGAUCGGUCACAAUUUUGGCUUUCGACGACCCCUGCACUGAAGAUGGCAUGCAAUCACGUCCUCCUUUGAAGGUCUCUCAAACUGUGAUGCCAGGUCCAUUGGAAUCGGGG